UUUUCAGGUGGUGUAAGAAUGACGUAUGGUGCUGAUACAGGUGUGAAACAACAUUUUAUAGCAAGAACACUGAAGCAGCAAGACAAGACCAACCUGGGAGAUGAAUGCAGUAUAAAACAACUUUAUCAAGGCCGACUUAAAAAUAUCUAGGAGUAGAUGAAGGGUCCGCAGUAAAGUCUCAACAAAUGAGAAGAAAGCUUAGUUAUGAAUAUUUCGGAAGAAUAAAUCUAAUACAGAGCACAGCCUUAACAUCCUGGAAUAAAGUUCAAGGACCCAACUGCCUAAAAUGGGACUGUCCAUUCCAAAGAAGAACAGGUAGGAACUCUAAUACUCAAAAGAUAAUCCAUCAUUUUAUCUCUACAACUAAACACAGGUUGACUUAACUUGGAGGAAACUAACUGCAGCUAAAAAUAUCACUUGAUGGAAAAGUAUUCAAAAAAGGUUUAGAACAAAUGCAGAAUGCUAAUGAAUGAGAGAAAUCAACCAGUAAAUGUGGAAAGCCCCAGAAAUGUAGCCUGUGCCACAAACUGUGGGAACCAAUUUCCUUAGUCUGUCAUUUUCUUAGCUGGAUAUGAUAUGAUGGCCUGAAUCAUUCUAAUAAUGACUACAUAUUUAAAAAUAUGCUUGUGUUGCUGAAAAGCCCUGGAAACUUAAAAAAAAAAAACAGUUGAUACGUCAGGAAACAUUUUUGCAGAUUUUUUUUCUCUUAGAUGUUUGAACUUGUCAUUGCAAGUAAAUCAGAACUCUAAAGUAUAUAACAGUAUGUGUUUUUUUUCGUACUAGAGUAAUAUGAAAGCAAAAUGUUUUGUUUAAAAGUAGAUUAUACUGCAGCAUUGAACUGAAUCAGUAUAUUAUGCUAACUGUAGUAUGCUAUGUGAUUAUGUGAUUCCAACAGCUGGAGUCCUGUACAAAUGUUAAAAUGAUAUCUACUGUUCAAAUGGCAUGCACUUCAUAGAUAUUAAAGUUACUUAAAAUCAUA